UACGUAGGGUGCGAGCGUUGUCCGGAAUUACUGGGCGUAAAGAGCUCGUAGGUGGUUUGUCGCGUUGUUCGUGAAAACUCACAGCUCAACUGUGGGCGUGCGGGCGAUACGGGCAGACUGGAGUACUGCAGGGGAGACUGGAAUUCCUGGUGUAGCGGUGGAAUGCGCAGAUAUCAGGAGGAACACCGGUGGCGAAGGCGGGGUCUCUGGGGCAGUAACUGACGCUGGAGGAGCGAAAGCGUGGGGAGCGAACAGG
rnacentral:rRNA from 1 species